AUUACCGCGGCUGCUGGCACGGAGUUAGCCGGUGCUUCUUCUGUGGGUAACAUCAAUUCACUCACGUAUUAGGUGAAUGACCUUUCUCCCCACUGAAAGUGCUUUACAACCCUAAGGCCUUCUUCACACACGCGGCAUGGCUGGAUCAGGCUUGCGCCCAUUGUCCAAUAUUCCCCACUGCUGCCUCCCGUAGGAGU
rnacentral:rRNA from 1 species